UCCGUGGUGGCUCAGACGGUAAAGCAUCUGCCUGCAAUGCGGGAGACCCAGGUUCAAUCCCUGGGUCGGGAA
rnacentral:tRNA from 1 species